GUAUUAAAGGUCCCGCCUGCCCAGUGAAACAAUUUUUAACGGCCGCGGUAUUCUAACCGUGCAAAGGUAGCGUAAUCACUUGUCUUCUAAAUAAAGACUAGUAUGAACGGCUAAAUGAGGGCAGACCUGUCUCCUAUGACCAAUCAGUGAAACUGAUUUUCCAGUACAAAAGCUGGAAUAUGCACAUAAGACGAGAAGACCCUGUGGAGCUUCAAACCAAGUACUACCUAACCAAGCCUAGUACAAGGUUUUAAGUUGGGGCGACUUCGGAACUAAACAAAACUUCCAAGCACAGGAGUACUAAACUCCUCCUUAAGGCCAACAAGCCGAAACAUAUAAAUUGACCCAGUCACACUGACCAACGAACCAAGUUACCCCAGGGAUAACAGCGCUAUCUUCUUCAAGAGUCCAUAUCGACAAGAAGGUUUACGACCUCG
rnacentral:rRNA from 1 species